rnacentral:rRNA from 1 species
GACGAACGCUGGCGGCGUGCUUAACACAUGCAAGUCGAACGGAAAGGCCCUGCUUUUGUGGGUUGCUCGAUUGGCGAACGGGUGUGUAACACGUGAGUAACCUGCCCCUGUCUUUGUGAUAACUUCUCGAAACUGGGGCUCUUACCGCAUAUGAUCUCCUGCUGCAUGUUGGUGGUUGGAAAGUUUGGGCUGUUCGAGAUGUACUGGCGGCUUAUCAGCUUUUUGGUGUGGUAGUUGCUUACCAAGGAUUUGACGGGUAGCCGGCCUGAGAGGGUUACCGGCGACAAGGGGACUGAGAUACGGCGCAGACGGGUACGGGAGGCAGCAGGGGGGAAUAUUGCAGAAUGGGGGGAAGCCAGAGACGGAAACGCCGCGUGCGGGAUGACGGCCUUCGGGUGAUAAACAGAUGUGGAAGGUGACGAAGAGGGAGUGACGGUAAUGAGUAAAGAAGCACCGGCUAACUACGUG